rnacentral:rRNA from 1 species
CGGUAAUACGGGAGAGGCGAGCGUUAUCCGGAAUUAUUGGGCGUAAAGCGUCCGCAGGUGGCCGAUUAAGUCUGUCGUCAAAUCGUGGAGCUCAACUCCAUACACGCGAUGGAAACUGGUUGGCUAGAGUACGGUAGGGGUAGCGGGAAUUCCAGGUGUAGCGGUGAAAUGCGUAGAUAUCUGGAAGAACACCAGCGACGAAAGUGCGCUACUGGGCCUGUACUGACACUCAUGGACGAAAGCCAGGGGAGCGAAAGGGAUUAGAUACCCCUGUAGUCCUGGCCGUAAACGAUGAACACUAGGUGUUGCGCGAAUCGACCCGUGCAGUGCCGUAGCCAACGCGUUAAGUGUUCCGCCUGGGGAGUACGCACGCAAGUGUGAAACUCAAAGGAAUUGACGGGGGCCCGCACAAGCGGUGGAGUAUGUGGUUUAAUUCGAUGCAACGCGAAGAACCUUACCAAGGCUUGACAUCCCCCGAAUCUCUGGGAAACCGGAGAGUGCCUUCGGGAGCGGGGA